rfam:Myotis davidii contig172226, whole genome shotgun sequence.
GCCAUGGAGGCUCAGUGGUUGAGCACUGACCUAUGAACCUGGAGGUCAGGGUUCGAUUCCCGGUCAGGGCA